rnacentral:lncRNA from 1 species
AAGCAAACUAAGCCACCCGAAUAAGUGGACCAUGGGGAUAUAGAGGCAGAAAACUCCCGGCCCCAUCCCCAGGCCUCCAGAGAAUUUGACACUCAAGCCACGGUGGAGAGGUUUUCUGUUAUGAGUUUAGCAUUUCUAAGAAAGAGGAGACCACAGGCUUUCCCUGUAGUCCAUUUCAAGAGUCUGAUAGCUCUCACUGGAAAUCUUCACUUCCUUUGAACUUGUACCUUCCUGCUGUGCCUCAGGCCUCUCCCUCUUCUGAGAGUUCUUGUCUCCAUGUCUGAUCCCUGUGAAAGUGCAGGCAUUUAAGGAGGAGGUCUGGGCCCCCUUCACGGUGGUGUCCACACCUCUCCCAGGGGGAUGUGCUCGGUAAGUGUGCAUGCAGCACCAUCUCAGCCCUGUGCAUCCUGGACCGCACCAACAAACAGCACCACACAGCUUGGGGACCAUGUCCAGAUUCACACGCAGACGAUAAGCACCGUGGCCAAUACCCAAGCGUUAGAUAAUUAAAGGUCCCUCCAAGGAUAAACACAAGUAAGAGUGGAAGCAAAGGAAGUGCACACGCUUGUCUCAAGAAAGACAGGGCAUGUAGCCUUUUCCCUAGGAUCUCUCAUCAUCUUCGCUUCUCUUUCUCACAUCAAAUGAUGCCAAUUCUUUAACUUUCCUAGGUUCCAUUUCCCAAUGCUUUCAUCAGUUUCACUGUCUUCUGCGAGGCUGAAUUUCCCUAAUUAAGGGCAGUGGGAGACGCUCCACAUUUGGAGUCCCUGUGAGGCAGCAAAGAUGGAGAGCUGAGACUGACCAUCCAGAAUCCAGGUGUGCCUUCGCCACACAGAACAACAAGCAUCGUUGAUGCCUCUAGAGCACAGUGGAGGAGAGAACUGGAGAAGAGGCACGGAGACCGCCAAGCGUUCCAGGUGCAGGCGGCAGGAGGGAGCCCAGGAUGCCGGCAGAGCGAGCCUUGGUCUGUGAACCCCAGGGCCGAUGGGCACCGGCUCAUCUAAUUCAUUUGUGUACAGAUCCACAAAACUGCACCUGGCUGUGGCCGUCACUGUGUAAUUUGGAAACUUCAAAUAAAAAGCCUGAAAGGAAAGUUGGACUAUUUAAGCUUACACAGACUCUAUUAAUGCUAUAUGGUUAUUCUACCCCUGACUUUGGAAGAAGGAGAAACUGGCAUGGGAAUACACUUUUCUAAAAAAAAUACUAUUUAAAAAUAUGAAAGUUUAUUUAACAUCUAAGGAAAGGUACUUAAUUAGAGGGACACUCAACAAGAAGAAUUGAGGAUCUAAGUAAAUAGUCCCCAUCUGCUCCUGGUCCUACCACCUGGCGAUUACUUCCUCUUCUUCUCUGAUAGAUUUUAGCCAACCAAUUUUGUUUUAUUUGUGCAAGUUGAGAGGCCACCUGUUAUGGAAUAUACUUCCACAUUAAACAAAGUGAACAUUUCCUAUUUCUGUGCUUCCCAUAUGAUUUUUAAAACACAAAGCACUCACUUUCACCUUAAACAGAUUUAAGAAAUGCUGACUCUGAUGAACAGGUAUAAACAAGGCAAUCUUUUGUUUAUGAAAAUUGUUAACGACCUACCCACAGAAAGACAUGCCCUGCGCCACACUGUACCCCCCACCCCCGCCCACCCGGCUCCCCGAUGCUGGUGAAUUAAUCUAUCCACACGUUUUUGCUCAUUUCCCUGGCUGUUACCAGCUGAAGUGAAGAAAAGACAUUUUACAAGGGGACAUGGUAUAUUUGUGCUAAAACAGGCACCACACAAAUCCAGAGAAAGGAGCCAAAAGGAAAUACCAGGCAGAGGGAACAGCGUGGAUAAAGGCAAAGCUGAGAAGAGGUUCUGAAGGAUGGAAUCCCAGAUCAAGGAGCCAGCAGAUGUGGUGGUGUGGACCCACUUCCUGGUUCAUAGAGGACCUUCCCACUGUGCCCUCAUACAGUGAAGGGGUAAGAGAGCUCCGUGGGGUCUCUUUUAGAAGGGCACUAAAC